AACGAACGCUGGCGGCAGGCUUAACACAUGCAAGUCGGACGCCCCGCAAGGGGAGUGGCGCACGGGUGAGUAACGCGUGGAUAUCUGCCUUUUGGUUCGGAAUAACCCCGGGAAACUGGGGCUAAUACCGGAUGGUUCCUACGGGAUAAAGAUUUAUCGCCAAAAGAUGAGUCCGCGUACGAUUAGCUAGUUGGUGAGGUAAUGGCUCACCAAGGCGACGAUCGUUAGCUGGUCUGAGAGGACGAUCAGCCACGCUGGGACUGAGACACGGCCCAGGCUCCUCCGGGAGGCAGCAGUGGGGAAUAUUGGACAAUGGGGGCAACCCUGAUCCAGCCAUGCCGCGUGAGUGAUGAAGGCCUUCGGGUUGUAAAGCUCUUUUGGCGGGGACGAUGAUGACGGUACCCGCAGAAUAAGCCCCGGCUAACUUCGUGCCAGCAGCCGCCGUAACAC
rnacentral:rRNA from 1 species